UCGUACGACCAGUCGCAAGUUUCCAUUCAAGUUUCCUGAAAAAACAGCAACUAAAAAUUAAAAAAAAAUUGAUCGCUCGGCUGGUCAUAGAUCGCAGAUUGCAGAUCGCGCGACAUGUAAAUGAACAUAGUUUUAGUCGCAGGUCGCACGAUACGUAAACGAAUGUAAUCUUAGUCGGCACGACACGUAAACGAACAAUUCUAUAUUAGAAUCUUAACCGAGACAAGUUAUUACAGAGAGAUAGAUAGAUACGUUGAGGCAGUGAAGGAGGCAGAUGUGUCAGGAAAAAAAACAAACGAAUAUAGUACCAAAAACAUUGUUUCACGUGGAUCUGUUUUUUUUUUUUUGUGAGAAAGGAUCUGUUUUUUUCGUUGAUUAUCAUUGGAUUCUUUGGAAUUGAUGCUAAACUUAGAGAGCUAAUUAAUAUUUUAAUUUAACAUAGACUUUUAGUAUUGAGAAAUUAUAUAACAUAUUAGUUGGACAACAUAUAAUACAUAUUAUUAGACUUGAGUUGUAUGUUUAAAGUUCGGUUUGUUUCUUGUGAUUGGCAAUGAUAUAGCAAGCACGAACCAUGCUCGUUUCUUACCUUUUUGGUAUAAACAUCAAGAUUAAACGAAUAUUUGAAAACGUUGAUGUGUAAUGCCGAGCUUUAUCUGUCGCUAGUACUAAAACGGUGAAACGAACCAACCGAUACCAUAAAGUUUAUUUACAAACACAUACCUCUCCAUUUAUGGAAGUGAAAUGAUCAACAAACCUCAAUUGUUAUGUAAUUCAUUUGUGUGAAAAUGAGGACCUUUUAUUAUUUCUUUGUGAAUUAAAUACGGAAAAGCAAAAAGGAAGGCUUACGAGGAAUUGAUGAAGAAGCACAUGCGACGACUAUGGCCAGAAGUGAAUGUGCUCAAAUUUCAUUCAUGGCUGUUUGUGUUGUGUCGGUCCACGCAUGUCACUCCCUUUUCUUUCGCUUUACUAUUUUUAUGCAUUUUUUAUAAGCUCCCAACUGUCAUCGGACCCGACAUUAUGAUCACUUCAGUUCUCAUACAUGUUUAACCAUUAAUGCGACCAUUGUCCACAAAAAUUCAUGUUUUGUACUAAAAACAUUUCAAAUUUUAAAAGAGGGUUCGAUCCCAAGAUAAAAUGGUGGCGGUUCUUAAUGGACUUAUUAGGUUACUAAACCGUUUUAUUUCUCAAAGUUACACUCAACUCAAAACUGUUUAUGAAGUUGUCAGAAACUAUGUCACAAACAAUCUUUGAAGAGGUUCAGAACCCUUCAAAGAGAGAAGUUUAUAAAUAGGUUCUGAAUGGUUCAUAACCUGUUUUUGAACUCUGCAUAAACUCAGAACUAUGCAAAUUAGUCUGACCAUAUUAAUAUCUAUUUUCAAAUUAACAUUUUCUCCAUUCCUGGAACUUUCAAAUAUUCUUGGUGAGUCAGAUUCUAAUUUUUUAUUCAUUUUAGGCUGGACUUGCAACAUUUUGUUGUUAUUGAGAAACUGGAAUCAACAUGUGGCUUUGAAUUAGAUACACGAUUUUAUGGUUAACUAGCAAGCUACUUUGUGUACGUAGAACUUACAGAUACUUUCAUUUAACUACGGUAAAUAAUACAUGGCCAGUUAAGUUUCGAAAUUAGUAUCAAAUACGAUUUGAAUGUUAUUCCUGUCUCAUCUGGCACAUUUGCACAUAAUUUCAAAAAUUAUUAUAGUACUGUCCUUUUCAAAAUGAAUGACGUAAGUUGAUGAAUGAAACAAUGACAUGUAUAUCUUCAUAUUACAAUUUAAUAUUUCUUUAUUUUAAGAUGAAUAGAUAUGUUAUGAUCAUCUUAAGGCCGUAGUUAUAUAUCUAUUUGAUAAUCAUGGGAUUAGACUUGAACUUUAGACUUAUUUCAUUUAUGAGUAGCGCAUAAUAAUCAAUCAUGAUUAGUUUAAAUAAUUUAAAUUAUCUAAAUUAUCCUAAAAAUAUUUAAUUUAAAUAACUUUUAGUAUAAUUUUUUAUAGUAUAAACUUUUUUUUUUUUGAAACUUAUAGUAUAAACAUAGUUACAGUUACCAGAUAACUUGAUAAGUAAGGUUAUCUAGUUUUAGUCCUUUAUAUAGUAAGACCACACUACAUAACUCGUGACUGGUUAUGACUUAUGAUCGGCUAGCCACACUACGGAACUAAAUAUUUUUUUCAACGAUUACGUAACACUUAAAAUAGAUUAUCUUUGGUCUUUGAAAUUGCAAUUCCAAAAUAAUAAAUCUACUGAAAUAUAAUGUACUUAAAAUUUAUAGAGUUUACAGUUAUAUAUUUCUUAAUGUCAAAUAUAAUGAUGUGUGUUUUGAUUUCGUCUCUUAUCCACGAAUUAAAUUUGUCCAUAUUUCAACAAUAGGGUCCAUUAUCACUUAAUGUCUCAUUCAGUGUUAUCAUUUCCAUGGAUUAUACAGAGAGGGGCCUUUUUCAUAUUUAUAUUCAUACCUCUCUAUCAAUAUUGGUAUAACAAGAAGUCUAAAACCAGUCUUGAGUCUCUUGACACGUCUCUUCUCCUUAUCUUAUUAAGUCAUAUGUAUCCAUUGAACAUUACUUUCAUAUAUAGUUAUUUAUGAUAAUAUACCAGAAAAGAAUUACACUUGUUACUCUUUUAACUGUUCAACGAUUUGGCAACGGGCAUUUUUCCGAAUGCUUGACCUUUCUUUCAGAAUCAUUUUAUGAACAAGAAGUUAAGAUAAAAGAUAGAGAAAGAAAAAUAUAAAUAUUAAAUACAUUAUGAUUUACACAGAUUGUACAACAAAAAGGGUAAAAAAGUAAAAGGUAAAGUAAUGAAACAAAGUUUAUUUUUUCUUUUGCUUUUGGAUUUUAAUCACAUAUUCUCCACACACAAAACAACCCCCAAUACUCAAAACAAAGCAAACACUUCCAGCAAACACACAACCACCUUUCGAGAUUUCAAAAUUACAUAUCAAAUAACAAACUAAAUUAAUUAAUAAAAA